rnacentral:rRNA from 1 species
GACGAACGCUGGCGGCGUGCUUAACACAUGCAAGUCGAACGGUAAGGCCCUUCGGGGUAUACGAGUGGCGAACGGGUGGGUAACACGUGGGUGAUCUGCACUGCACUUUGGGAUAAGCCUGGGAAACUGGGACUAAUACCGGAUAGGACCGCGCAUUGAUGGUGGCUUGUGGAAAGCUUUUGCGGUUCGGGAUGGGCCCGCGGCCUAUCAGCUUGUUGGUGGGGUAAUGGCCUACCAAGGCGACGACGGGUAGCCGGUCUGAGAGGGUGUCCGGCCACACUGUGACUGAGAUACGGCCCAGACUCCUACGGGAGGCAGCAGUGGGGAAUAUUGCACAAUGGGCGCAAGCCUGAUGCAGCGACGCCGCGUGGGGGAUGACGGCCUUCGGGUUGUAAACCUCUUUCAGUAGGGACGAAGCGCAAGUGACGGUACCUACAGAAGAAGCACCGGCCAACUACGUGCCAGCCGCCGCAGUAA